AGGUAAGCUACUAAGAGCGAAUGGUGGAUGCCUUGACUGGUAAAGGCGAUGAAGGACGUACUAGACUGCGAUAAGCUACGGGGAGCUGUCAAGAAGCUUUGAUCCGUAGAUUUCCGAAUGGGGCAACCCAAUGUAUAGAGAUAUACAUUACCUAUAUAGGAGCGAACGAGGGGAAUUGAAACAUCUUAGUACCCUCAGGAAAAGAAAUCAAUAGAGAUUGCGUCAGUAGCGGCGAGCGAAAGCGCAAGAGGGCAAACCCAGUGCUUGCACUGGGGGUUGUAGGACUGCAAUGUGCAAGAGGUAAGUUUAGCAGAACAUUCUGGAAAGUAUAACCAUAGAGGGUGAUAGUCCCGUAUGCGAAAAACAAACCUUAGCUAGCAGUAUCCUGAGUAGGGCGGGACACGAGGAAUCCUGUCUGAAUCCGGGUCGACCACGAUCCAACCCUAAAUACUAAUACCAGAUCGAUAGUGCACAAGUACCGUGAGGGAAAGGUGAAAAGAACUGAGGUGAUCAGAGUGAAAUAGAACCUGAAACCAUUUGCUUACAAUCAUUCAGAGCCCUAUGUAGGAAUACAGGGUGAUGGACUGCCUUUUGCAUAAUGAGCCUGCGAGUUGUGGUGUCUGGCAAGGUUAAGCAAACGCGAAGCCGUAGCGAAAGCGAGUCUGAAUAGGGCGCUUAGUCAGAUGCUGCAGACCCGAAACGAAGUGAUCUAUCCAUGAGCAAGUUGAAGCUAGUGUAAGAACUAGUGGAGGACUGAACCCAUAGGCGUUGAAAAGCCCCGGGAUGACUUGUGGAUAGGGGUGAAAGGCCAAUCAAACUUCGUGAUAGCUGGUUCUCUCCGAAAUAUAUUUAGGUAUAGCGUUGUGUCGUAAUAUAAGGGGGUAGAGCACUGAAUGGGCUAGGGCAUACACCAAUGUACCAAACCCUAUCAAACUCCGAAUACCUUAUAUGUAAUCACAGCAGUCAGGCGGCGAGUGAUAAAAUCCGUCGUCAAGAGGGAAACAACCCAGACUACCAGCUAAGGUCCCUAAAUCUUACUUAAGUGGAAAACGAUGUGAAGUUACUUAAACAACCAGGAGGUUGGCUUAGAAGCAGCCAUCCUUUAAAGAAAGCGUAAUAGCUCACUGGUCUAGUGAUUUUGCGCGGAAAAUAUAACGGGGCUAAAGUAAGUACCGAAGCUGUAGACUUAGUUUACUAAGUGGUAGGAGAGCGUUCUAUUUGCGUCGAAGGUAUACCGGUAAGGAGUGCUGGAGCGAAUAGAAGUGAGCAUGCAGGCAUGAGUAGCGAUAAUUAAUGUGAGAAUCAUUAACGCCGUAAACCCAAGGUUUCCUACGCGAUGCUCGUCAUCGUAGGGUUAGUCGGGUCCUAAGUCGAGUCCGAAAGGGGUAGACGAUGGCAAAUUGGUUAAUAUUCCAAUACCAACAUUAGUGUGCGAUGGAAGGACGCUUAGGGCUAAGGGGGCUAGCGGAUGGAAGUGCUAGUCUAAGGUCGUAGGAGGUUGUACAGGCAAAUCCGUAUAACAAUACUCCGAGAACUGAAAGGCUUUUUGAAGUCUUCGGAUGGAUAGAAGAACCCCUGAUGCCGUCGAGCCAAGAAAAGUUUCUAAGUUUAGCUAAUGUUGCCCGUACCGUAAACCGACACAGGUGGGUGGGAUGAGUAUUCUAAGGCGCGUGGAAGAACUCUCUUUAAGGAACUCUGCAAAAUAGCACCGUAUCUUC
rnacentral:rRNA from 1 species